CUGCAGCAGCGGCUACCUGGCCACGCAGCAGCGGUGGCGGGAUGGUGGCAGCAAGGGGGCGGCGAGCUCCUCUGUCCGCUCUAGGACUCCACCGCCAAGGGGGCGAGCUCCUCCGUCCGCUCUAGGACUCCACAGCGAAGGGGGCACGCCCUUGCAUCUGGGAGGUGCUCGAGCUCGUCAAAGGUGCCCCUCCCCUUCCCCCACUGGAUCCGAUUUGAUGGUGAAUUGCAGGUCCAAGUCAUUGUCUUUGAUCAAGAUUACAGAUUUAUGAUAAUUAUACUGAAUCUUGAAGUGUACUGUCAACUGAAUGUAUUGGCAGAAUUCAUAUUUAGACUGAAUGUUUACUACUCCUGUCAAUAGCAUACUGAAUAUUUAGAUAGUUUAAUCUUGAAGUAUAGACUGAAUGUUCAGACAGAGUUCUUAUUCAUGUCUAAUUGUAUUGACAGAGUUCAAUGUACUCCUGUCAAUAGAAUCAAAACUGAUUUAUUACCUUUCCAUAUGAACUUUACUGAAAAAUCAAUUAAAUUAGUCACCAUUCUGGAUUUUGACAGUACUCUACAAACUGCUUCAAAAUUAGUUCACACAAACAAGUGCAUUUUUCUAGACCUGCUUGUAAAUUAUUCCAGUUUGAAACUGAGAUAUGCCUGUACUGUCAUAAUUUCCAGUUUGUAUAAUUAGAGUAUUGAAGAUGUGUAUUUUCCAUUUAGAUAGGGGUGGUUUGCUCAACAACAAUCAGUAAGAUCUCAAUAAUACUCAUGCAACAACAAUCAGCAAGAUUGAGAUCUUCUUGCAAUCUUUGUUUACAGCAGCACAAAGAGAUUACUAGUGAAUUUUUACACACAAGCAUGAAUUUGUGUACUGUGACUAUCUACCUAGCUACUGUUCUAAAUCUCCUAUGUACUGCUUCUUCCUUCUCCAAGAUUAUGACAUGACAAGUGCUUAACAGUUCAAUUUAUCAAUAGCUCCGUCUUAGAAAUUUAAUUAGUGCAUUUGUAAAAUGGCAAAGAUUAUGACAUGACAAAUGCCUAACAUGUUCAGUAAACUACAGUGAACAUCUUUCUCCAAGUAAUUCAACUACAGAUAGAUUAGAGAUGGAUUAUUGAUGGAAUAUAAUUCAACUACAAAUAGUCUUGUACUCCAGAUGUACUAUUGGGUAGAGUACAUGUAAGGAGACAGAACUUCCGGAUGUACAGGUUAGCAAGUUUUUCUAGAAGUGUCACAGGGGCUAGAGCUCUCGAGAAAUACUCAUGUGAUCAUUUGGACUAGGUUAGAUCAUUUGCAAGAAGAGGAGUACACUACAGUAGCUCUCCUCUUCUUGCAAGUCCUACACUAAACUACUGAAACUGCUACAAGCAACCAAAUUGACAGAAAAUCUGACAGUAACAAGAAAGCACAUGAAAAUCUGAACCAGUAUGUGUGUGCAGUUAUAAACUCACUGACAGUAACAAGUUACUCCAUGACAUCAAGUUUAGAAAUUUAGUUAGUGCAUUUCUAAAAAUGGCCAACAUUAUGGCACAAAUAAUUAAGUAAGUUAGCACAAAUUGCAAAGUAAGUUAGCACGAAUUCAAUUUUAAUCCAAAUUACUCAAAUUAAUCCAAAUAUUUUAAAUUAAUUCAAAUAACUAAAAUUAAUCCAAAUCAAUUCAAAUAAUUCAAAUUCCAAAUAACCCAAAUUUCAAUAAAUUCCAACAAGGAGUUUAUAUACAAGGAUUAGACAAGGCAUACACAAGGGCAUGACAUAAGGGCAUCUUUGUCCCCUCUUGACACAAGAUUACACAAGACAUACACAAGGAGCACCUGACUACAUGACAUACGGGCCUCUUUGUCCCCUCUUGACUACAUUCUUUUCCUUUCUCUGGCCACUUCUUCCCUUCCCUUCCCUUUACUUUUCAUUAUUUUCCCUUCUUGUUGCUACUUCUUCCCUUCCUUUUACUUUUCUUUCUUUUCCCUUCUCUAGCUAAUUCUUUGCUUUCAUUUUUUUUCCUAUUGCAAUUUUCAUUUCUUCUAUAAUGGCCCUAAUAUCAACAACUACCUGACUGUCACAAUAUACACUGAUUAUUUCCAUUCCAGCAUUCUGAUAGCGAUCCUUGUGCAAGUGGGGCAACUUAUAUUGAUUUCCUCCUUUGUCUUUCAUAACUUCAAACAUAACUGCUUCUAAUGUGAUAAAGCUUCUGUGCAACUUGUCGGGAUCUUAGUUCUAGAAUUCCUCUUCCACACCAUGUACCAGUUCCUGGAUCUCUACUCCUAAUGUCUCAGUUGGUAGGUCGCGUUCCGGGUUUUAUUUUCGUUCCACCCCACCCAGUCUUUUUUGGUACUUCUUUGGUACUUCCUCCCACCUCCCUCCCAGCCGCGAAAAACCAAGAAAAACCCCGCGAUCGAGUCCCGCACCCGCCCAACCUCCCGUCCUGGAAGAAAACCUACGAAAAAAACCUACGAAAAAAAACCAGAACUCGCACGCACCGACGCACGAGCGAGACUGCCCUCUCGAUCCCCUCGACCUACGAUCUGUGACUGCAGACGCACCAGAUCGCCGCCGCGGACCUCGCAGGGAAGACGCGGACGAGAUCCCAAGCUGCUGCUCCUCCUCUCCCGGGAUGCAGCCGCUGCCGCCGAACCAAGGAGACGCCGGCGACCGUCGCCGCCGUCGUGGAUCUCCAGGACGCCGCCGCCUGCACCGCCACCACCGCGCCUCGGAUACAUCGCUGCGAGGCAGAUCCCUGGGAGCGGGAGGAGGUAGGGGUCAGCCGCGUCGACAGCGGCGAGGUGGAGCCCUGGGGCUGGGAGUGGGUAUGGGAGGAGGUGGGGGGCAGCUGCGAGCGCAACGGGGUGAGGGGCGUCGAUGAGAUGCUCCUGGUGCCUCCCUUCGAGUGGGAGGGGGAGAGGGGCGUCAGCGGCGAGCCGGACGGGGCGAGGGGCGUCGAUGAGAUGCCCCCGGCGCUUCCCUCCGGGCGGGAGGAGGAGAGGGGCGUCGACGACGAGGCGGGUGUCGGCGGCGAGAUGGGUGUCGGCGGCGAUGAGGAUUGCAUUGUUGUGCCGCUGCCACUUCCUACAGACUCCCUGACUCACAGUGCAAGACAUCCCAACUCGGGUCCAUCCGGGUAAACACCGCCGCCGCCCUUGGCAGGAUCCCUUUUGGCGGCUUCGAUCUAGGAAAAAGAGGAGCGGAAGGAGAGAAGUACUGGUCUAUGACUCGGGUCAUGGGGAUGGAUGGAUCUCUCGGUAAUGGUGGAUCCAGAGUUCCAGACUCAGUUCAUCUUAUAGGCUUAAUUCAUACUGUAUCAUUUUGAUGAAUACGUUGCUCCCCUAUUUUUUCUACAAUCAAGAUGAUUUUCCUCUGUGGGGUAUGCAUAUCAUCUUCUUUCGUUUUCGUUAGAACAUAUCAUAUUUUGUUUGACAGGCAGGUACAACGAUGGCAAUAUUUGUUUUCAUCAGAAGUAUAUUUUCAUGAGAUACAAUGGCAAUCAGGUUUGUGUUUCAUGAGCUUUGUUCAUAUCACUGCUUCUCCCUAAUCCGCCUUCACUCUAAUGCAUGGCCACCCAAAAUUGUCUUCUCCUCGGUUUGUAGGCGGCACAUGCAGAAGAGUUGUGGAAGGUUGAUUGAGAAGUCAUAAGGACUGGGUGAAGCAAAAUGCAAUCUCCAAGGUUAGGUUACCUCUCAAUGCCCGUGAUGAUAUGAGUGCAACUAAACUAAUAUUUGUUUGUUGUGAUCUAUGGUUCCCACCUGCCAUGCUCAUAUAUUUCUGUUUCCACAUGAUAUGUCUUCUAUAUUAAAUUAUAGUCUUUGAUACAAUAAGUUAUUCCUUCAAAUUUAACAGUCUAGGAAGAAUCUGAAUAUGGCAACGAUUUCUUUCUUUCCUAAGCACUCCUCUCCUAUUAAAACCCAGCAUAUGCUGAACCACUGCUGCUUUAAUGUCUAAAUCUUUUGGUUUAUAGUUUAUGGCAAACCAAAUUAUGAAUCAAGUGUUCAUCUCUGAAGUUCAUAACAGUGGUCGGUUUUUAGUGUGUCUAAAGGAAAUGCACCAAGCUUUUGUACUGAAAGAUUAUCCUGACAUGGGAUUUUUUAUUCUUGAAUGAACACGGUAGCCUUUAUUAUUACUUUUAGAGAAGAUGUACACAGCUAGGAUACAGAACUACAUUCUUACUAUGAUUGGCUUAAUGCAACUAAGAUCAAGGCUCCACGAGGCUAUGUUGAUUUGUUAAAUUCCUUUCAGUUUCAGGUUUCAAAAUGAGAAAUUGGAGCAUUGAGACCUUUGAACUGAAACCUAAAUAAAGGUAUACAUAUUUAUGUUGGUCUAAAACCACCAUGUUUUAUCUGUAGAAAAUAGAAAUCGCCGUUCGGUUUCAUUUACAAAUUAAAUUAAACUAUAGACAUAGUCCACGACAUCGGGACAAAUAGAGUAACUAAUUAUAUGUAUGUUUUUUCCAGCAAAGAACUUAUUAUAAAACGGGACACCAGAAAAUCCAGUGGGAAAUUGAGGGGCUCCCCUCUUCGUAAAAAAGUUACUUCACGGCAUUGCCUAAUGUACAGAGAAAUCACGGAGUCAAAAAUUGCUUUCCCGCCCAUGACAUAAUUUAUACAGCAUCACAGAGUGCCUUUUUAUGCAUAAUCGACUUCCCUCGGAAAAGCAUUUGUAAGAUAGCUAAUCAACAUGUCAUUUGUUCUUAAUUCAGAAUUGUGCAUGCAUCCAACAGAGAAAGGUGCGU
rnacentral:lncRNA from 1 species